CUCACAUCAGGUGGCGUCGUGAUCGGCCGUCACCAGUACCUUACACCUUUUCCCGGUGUUUUUCUUUGUCGCCUCCACCGUAGCCAGCUCGGAAUAUCGUUUCUCGCAGUCUAUACAGCAUUUGAAGGCGUGCUGGAUUGCCUGUAUUAAGAAGGCUGACCGCUCGUUGCCCUGAAAAUUUUAAAGACAAAUAAUGAGAGAGAGAGAGAGAGAGAGAGUAAUAGGAUGGUCGAUACAUGGCUACGAGUAGAGAACCUGCAAGUGUUUGUAAUUUCAUCACUAAGUUUUCGUCACACCAGCCGUGCCAGUAUGCAAGUGGUAUUAUAGUGGCAGCAAGGCAGAGCUGUGGUGCGGAAUGAUGUCUGGAGGGUCGUUGCUGGAAACAACAGGUAGGAAACUUGCAGGACAGAAGAAUAAUUAUCGAAGCAGCUGUAAGACUACCACUGCGAUAAUGAAGAAAUGAACCAUACUAAGGCCUGCCACUCUCAGGGGAUAAUGAGAUGGUAUGGAGUCCAGCAGUCACCAGCUGUCAGUGGCCAUAUUUUCUCGAGUUGUUCUGUUGAUUUAUCAGCAAACUUAUCCAGCUGCCUCAACAUUUAACCACUUCCUGAGAUAAGGAGAGCUUGAUGUGCAGAAGCCAGGCAUUCACUCUCAACUCUUUGGUGAGACUUUCCUAAUUUGCUGCUGGAGCUAAAGAUUGAAUGAAGGAUUGAUUUUGAAGGAUUGAUUCUCAACACCAUAUGAAUAAGUAAGUUUCUUGGAUUGGCAAAGGCACAGGAUGAGGUGGGAGGCCACUAUUGUAGUUUACACCCCUGCUAGACAAGGUGAGCAGUCUAGAUGUCAGCAGCAGAGUGGUAGAAUAGGGUUGUGCCUGGCUUGGCUGAGGGCAGGCAUCAAUUUUGGUAAAUGCUCACUGCCACCUCAAAGUUGAUUCAUAGUGGAGACAACCAAGAUGUGACAGGUAAGACACCAGCCAGGCAAGUGAGAGUAUGAGGAUUCGUUGCAUGAAUGUGAGAGGAUGGGGUGUGGGUAAGUUUGAGGAUGUCUGCAAGGAGCUCAGUGAAUGGAAGUUUGAUGUAGAUGUAGUCAGACUCAGAGAUACCUGAUAGAUGAUGUCAGAAUGGAAGGAUGUGUGUGUAUGUUUUGAUUGGAAAGGGGCACAAGACUCAGGAGAUACUGUGAGGAGGCAUAGCCUUAUUCUGCAAGAAAAGGUGACUGAAAGUAGAGGAGCUUGAUGUGGGAAAGUGUGAGAAAAGUAUGGUGGCGUAGAGUGGAAUGUAUGGAUAGUCAUAGACCAGAGAAGGUGUUACUAGUGGUAGUUUACAUGACUGUCAUAGGUGAAAGAGCAGAGAGGGAGCAGGAGGAAGUGUGACACUUAUAAUUGUGAGAGCAUAGAGAGGAAAGAGUGCUAGUGAUGGGUGAUAUGAAUGCAGAUGUAGUUAUACUGGGAGAACAGAUGAACAUGAUUGGUGAAAUGCUUGGGGAGUUUGUUGAUGAAACAGACUUGGAAAAUGUGAACAUUACCUUGGCUGAGUGGUGUGUGUGACUUGGACUGCAAGGGAGCAUGAAUUGGCUAUGAAUCAGCUAAUGACUACAUGUUGGUGAAUGGAAGAAUGUGUGAAAUUAUGUCUCACAUGUGGUUAGACGAGGAUGGCAUGGUUGAUGUUGUGGAGUGCUUUGUGCAGGGUAGGAAGAAAGUGAAAGUGGCAAAUAAGAAAAGGAAGUGGGGACAGAUGUAGGGUGGGAGAACUUUUAGGUUGAUCUGAGUGAAAGAAGCUGGGAUGAUGUAAAUAUGCAUGAUGUGGAGCACCUGAAUGAGAAACUGGUUGAAGACAUGUGGAGUGCUGCUGAGAAUGAGAUAUGGUUUGUGAAAGUAGGCAGAAGAGUUUGUAAACCAUGGUGAAAUGAUGAAAUCAGAGAGGUUAGGAAGGAAUGAAAGAUAAUGUGUAGAUAGUUGAGGAAAGAGGCAUGAAAGUGAUAAGGUGGAGAAUGAGUAUAAGAAUGCAUGGGCAGCAUAUGACUGACAUGGUGAAUGAUGAAGGCCAAACUGAGUGUGAUUGAAUCUUUAAGGGAGAAAGGCAUGGAAGGUGGCCGUGAAUGAUGGUACAAGUUCAUGAAGCGAGUGUGUCAGGUAGUGUUAGUGUGAGUGUGUGAAAGUGAAUGGUGAAGUUAUAAUAGAGAAGGAAGGAGUCAGGGAAGCAAUCAGACAGGUCUGGGAAGUAGGUGUAGCAAGUGUUUGGUGUGAGAGAAGGAUGCGUGACACUGGAGAGGAAAAAUACAGAUGAACUGGAUGAGAGAAUCAACAGGGAGGGGUGAAGAAAUGUGUGAAAGGAGAAUGGGAAGGUAGCAGGGCUAGAUGAGAUACCCUAUGAAGAGUAUAAAAAUGGAAGGAAAUUUGUGAUUGACAGGAUGACUGAGCUAUUUAACUAGGUGUGGGAGGAGUGUGUGCCAAGAAUGCAUGUAGAAUGGAUGCAGGGUGAGUUGGAACUAUAGGCCAAUUGCAUUUGUGAACACAGUAGGCGGUGUAAAGUGCAGUGUUGAAUGAGAGACUAAAUAAACAGAGCUGGAAUGUUGGUAAAGAACAAAAUGGGUUGCAUGUGGACAGGAGAGCUAUGUUUGUAAUGAAUGAAAUGAUCAAGAGAAAAGAGAUAAAAUUGUACUUCGGUUUUCUGGAGAGAAAGCUUAUGAGUAAACAGAAAUGUAGCAUGUAUGUUGACAUGAGAGCUAAAUACAGACUGGGUGGGAGAUAUAUUUCUAUAAACUGGGUGAAGACUGAGGGAGGAGUUAGGCAAGGAUGUAUAUUGUCACCAAUCCUUUUCAGCUUGCACACACAAGAAUUAGUAGCCAGAAUGAGAAGAAUGUGUCCCCUUUUUUAUGCAGAUGAUGUAGUGGUUAUGAGUGAAUUGGCAGAUGAGCUCCAAAGUCUGCUGGAUGUUGUAGAUAGGUAUGGAAGAGACUUUGGAAUUAGGUUUAGCAGUGAGAAAAGCAAGGUCAUGAUUGUAAAAUAGAUCAGGGGAGUAAUGUAGUAUGGAGAAUUGGAGAGAAUAAAUUGAAACAAGCACAAAAAUACAAGUACUUAAGGAUGUGGAUGAGUCCAAAUGGGUGUGUGAAAAGGCAAAGAAUGAAAAGAUAAACUUGGUGAACCAGUAGGUAGGUCGAGUGGGAAGCACAGCAAGGAUGAGAUUGAGUAAGAAAGACAUGCUAAGAGAAUUGUGGAAGAGUGUUGCUGUGCCGAGUAUAAUGUAUGGGUAUGGAUUGAAAGAAAGACAUGCUAAGAGAAGUGUGGAAGAGUGUUGCUGUGCCGAGUAUAAUGUAUGGGUAUGGAUUGAAAGAAAGACAUGCUAAGAGAAGUGUGGAAGAAUGUUGCUGUGCUGAGUAUAAUGUAUGGUUUGGACGUGAUUGGAUGGAAUGAAAGUGAAAUUGAUGCUAAGAUAAGUGUGGAAGAGUUGCUGUGCCGAGUAUAAUGUAUGGUAUGGAUGUGAUUGGAUGGAAUGAAAGUGAAAUUGAUAAGUUAGAAGUGGGGCAGAAUGGAGUAGCAAGUAGCAAGGAUGGCAUUGAAUGCACUUAAAGUACACAGCAGUGGAAGCUUUUGAGAGUUGAUAUGGAAUGGAAUACAUUUAGGGAAAGACUUACAAAAGUGACAGGUACAAGAUUAGGGGUGAAUGGGUGAUGCAAGAAUAGCAAGAAAGUUGUAUAUGUAGAAUGAAACUGGAAGCAAAUGGAGGAAGAGGUGCAUGAGAAUAACAAACAAGAGUGGAUUAUACAAGUUGUGUGGGGGAUGAGAAUGGCUGGGAGAAAUUGUGAAUGUUUGUGACAAGAGGGAGCAGAGUGGGAACUGAAUGGGAUGAGAAAAUGGAAAAAUGAGAUGGAAUGCAGCAAGGGCACUCUGGAAUGGUACAAGGAGAAAGAGGCCCCAAUCAGUGUAUUGAAAGGUGGUAUGAUGGAAGGCCUGGGUGGUGGUCCCUUUUGAGCUAGGGCAUAAUGUAUGGAUGUGAAUGCAAAGAAUUACAAAGAUGGUUUGAGUCCUGCUGCAAAGUAUGCCAGAUGUGCAAUAUGGGAUAGGACACGAUGGUGGAGCAUAUGGUGCUGGAGUGUGAGAGGUAUGAAAGAUACAGGAGAGACAUGAUGCAAGUGAUUCUGAGUGAGUUAGGGCAUAAUAAGAAUGAAAUGAAAGAGUGGAGAAGAUAAGAAGGGAAUGGAUGGUGGUCCUGCUGAGACUGUAUAGAGAGAUGAAUGAAAGAAUUAUUGAGGCUGUGAAAGAGUUUCUGGAGAGAAUGUGGCGUGUUAAAUGUAGGGACAAUUAGUGUAUACAGUUUGUUUUACCUGCUUGUCUUUUGUCUUUGUCUUCUACAGGUAUUGUCAAUCCAAAGGAUAAGCUUAGGAAUGAUCCUGAGCCACCUUGUAGCAUCAAAAUCAAGAUCACAUCUUUCUGACCAAGGAUUUUUUUUUGUCAUGGUUGCUGAAAUCCUCUCUGCCUCUGCUCAGAGCCUUCAUGAACACCUUGACCUCAAACACCUCUGAAAAAAAUGUUAUAAAACAUGGUUUGUUUGUUUCUAGAAUAGAACUACAUACCUAUUGAUGAUCAUAUUAUAAUGAACUUUGAAAUUUAUUUAUCUUAUUACAGCUAUCUCCUGUCUAGUUUAAUGAGAUAAAUAUUUCAAGUGAAAUUAUUAUGUUGGCUAUGUUAAGUCAUGUAACCUUGUGUAAUUGCCUACUUAGCGAGGUGGAGGGAGGAAAUUCAUUGAUCAAAUACUAAAGUUCAUGUUAUAAAUCUCUCUCAAAAAGAUCAACACUACUUACUUUGUAAUAACAGAUAGUGUUCUUUCAUGGCCCUAGCCCUUCACAGCUGUGUGUUACUUUUGCUAGAAGUAGAGAAAUGCCUGAAGGAAAUGUUCUCUUGAAUCAAAAGGAAGAGGCCAAUUGGUUCCAAGAAGCGUCUUUAUACUCAUCUUUUGACGCAUUUAUUAUAUAUAAUAAAGGAUGAUAGAGUGAAAAUGA